rnacentral:lncRNA from 1 species
CUCAAGAGGGGUGUCAUCAUUCAUGGUUAUCCAAAUACCUGUUUAAAAGGAGGGUUACGGUAAGCCAUGUGCCUUUACACUCUAUCAAUAACAUCUAUUACUCUACUCAGCAAUUCUAUUGAAGAAUGUCUGUGAGGAUUCUGUCCACCAGGGGGAGCUGAGAUGCAGUGUUAAUGUUCUCAACCUUUUACUAAGCAUAAUCAGCAACGAUUGAUAGAAGCUUCUCUAUGAAGAACCAUUUCCAUCAAAGGAAAAUAUAGUUUCCCCUGGAGUGCCAAUAUCCAUUCCUGCCUUCGACCAUGAACCACUCUGCAAACACCCCGGGAAGGCUCGGGUGCAUCUGACAAGAUCUUUGAGGGAGAGAUUGAUUCCAUUUGUACGCCUGUUAGAUAAUGACCUUCGACCUCUGUACCCAAAGUGACAACAAAAAAUGCCUUUUCGUAUUCAUCUCAUGUCCCAGGAAAUAUUAUCUGGUUUCCUGUAAACAGGUGAGGAGCAGAGCUGCCACAGGCUUGCUGUGCAGGGCGUUGAAGGUGAAAGCUGAGAGGGAGACAAGCUGCUUGCUGUGAAGAGAACUACAGAGCAUGAAUCAACUUAUCAAGUUUUAUCAGUGCCUGCAUGGGGGAACUCAUGACUCAGCUCCUGGGAAACAAGAAAGGCAGAAUCUCAGACUAUCUGUGGUCCCAGCAAGCAGCAUUCAGAGCAUCAUCUCCAGCGCUGUCUUUCCUUCUGCUCUGGCCUACUCUGCUCUCCUAUACCUUGGGUAAAUGAACGGAGGCAAAGGAACGCUAAUCUUUGGGCAUCGGUUGAAAAAAACUAACAGAAGUCACUGAAAUGAGGAUUUCAAAAAUUCCAAAUCCCAGAAAGCAUGAAUUAUAUUAAAUAACAAUCAAAA